rnacentral:rRNA from 1 species
AUUGAACGCUGGCGGAAUGCUUUACACAUGCAAGUCGAACGGCAGCACGGGGCAACCUGGUGGCGAGUGGCGAACGGGUGAGUAAUACAUCGGAACGUGCCCAAUCGUGGGGGAUAACGUAGCGAAAGAUACGCUAAUACCGCAUACGAUCUACGGAUGAAAGCGGGGGAUCGCAAGACCUCGCGCGAAUGGAGCGGCCGAUGUCAGAUUAGGUAGUUGGUGGGGUAAAGGCUCACCAAGCCAACGAUCUGUAGCUGGUCUGAGAGGACGACCAGCCACACUGGAACUGAGACACGGUCCAGACUCCUACGGGAGGCAGCAGUGGGGAAUUUUGGACAAUGGGCGCAAGCCUGAUCCAGCCAUUCCGCGUGCAGGAUGAAGGCC